CCUACGGGAGGCUGCAGUGAGGAAUAUUGGUCAAUGGCCGGGAGUCUGAACCAGCCAAGUCGCGUGAGGGAAGACGGCCCUACGGGUUGUAAACCUCUUUUGUCAGGGAGCAAGCUGCAUGUCGGGACCCUCUUUGAGAGUACCUGGUGAAAAAGCCUCGUCUAACUCCGUGCCAGCAGCCGCGGUAAUACGGAGGAUGCGAGCGUUAUCCGGAUUUAUUGGGGUUAAAGGGUGCGCAGUCGAAGGCACAAGUCAGUGGUAAAAUCGCGGGGCUCAACCCCGCCCCGCCGUUGAAACUGUGUCCCUUGAGUGCGAGAAGGGUAGGCGGAAUGCGUGGUGUAGCGGUGAAAUGCAUAGAUAUCACGAAGAACUCCGAUCGCGAAGGCAGCCUACCGGAGCGCAACUGACGCUCAUGCACGGAAGCGUGGGUAUCGAACAGGAUUAGAUACCCUGGUAGUC
rnacentral:rRNA from 1 species